rnacentral:rRNA from 1 species
AGAACGAACGCUGGCGGCAUGCCUAAUACAUGCAAGUCGAACAAACACUUCGGUGUUAGUGGCGCACGGGUGCGUAACGCGUGGGAAUCUGCCCUUGGGUUCGGAAUAACUGUUGGAAACGACUGCUAAUACCGGAUGAUAUCGAAAGAUCAAAGAUUUAUCGCCCAGGGAUGAGCCCGCGUAGGAUUAGCUAGUUGGUGAGGUAAAGGCUCACCAAGGCGACGAUCCUUAGCUGGUCUGAGAGGAUGAUCAGCCACACUGGGACUGAGACACGGCCCAGACUCCGUACGGGGGCAGCAGUAGGGAAUAGUUGGACAAGUGGGCGCAAGCC